UACGGGAGGCAGCAGUGGGGAAUAUUGGGCAAUGGGCGAAAGCCUGACCCAGCAACGCCGCGUGAAGGAAGAAGGCCUUCGGGUUGUAAACUUCUUUUAUGAGGGACGAAGGACGUGACGGUACCUCAUGAAUAAGCCACGGCUAACUACGUGCCAGCAGCCGCGGUAAU
rnacentral:rRNA from 1 species